CCUACGGGAGGCAGCAGUGGGGAAUAUUGGACAAUGGGGGAAACCCUGAUCCAGCGACGCCGCGUGAGUGAAGAAGUAUUUCGGUACGUAAAGCUCUAUCAGCAGGAAAGAAAAUGACGGUACCUGACUAAGAAGCCUCGGCUAACUACGUUCCAGCAGCCGCGGUAAUCCGUAGGGGUGAAGCGUUUUCCGGAUUUACUGGGUGGAAAGGGAUCGUAGGCGGGAGCGCAAUGCUGGAGGGAAAUGGCGGGGCCCAACCCCGGAACUGCUCUGGAGACUGUGAAGCUUGAGUGCAGGAGAGGAAAGCGGAAUUCCUGGUGUAGCGGUGAAAUGCGUAGAUAUAAGGAGGAACACCGGCGGCGAAGGCGGCUUACUGGACUGUAACUGACGUUGAGGCUCGAAGGCGUGGGGAGCAAACAGGAUUAGAUACCCUUGUAGUC
rnacentral:rRNA from 1 species